rnacentral:rRNA from 1 species
GACGAACGCUGGCGGCGUGCUUAACACAUGCAAGUCGAACGGAAAGGCCCUGCUUUUGUGGGGUGCUCGAGUGGCGAACGGGUGAGUAACACGUGAGUAACCUGCCCUUGACUUUGGGAUAACUUCAGGAAACUGGGGCUAAUACCGGAUAGGAGCUCCUGCUGCAUGGUGGGGGUUGGAAAGUUUCGGCGGUUGGGGAUGGACUCGCGGCUUAUCAGCUUGUUGGUGGGGUAGUGGCUUACCAAGGCUUUGACGGGUAGCCGGCCUGAGAGGGUGACCGGCCACAUUGGGACUGAGAUACGGCCCAGACUCCUACAGGAGACAGCAGUGGGGAAUAUUGCACAAUGGGCGGAAGCCUGAUGCAGCAACGCCGCGUGCGGGAUGACGGCCUUCGGGUUGUAAACCGCUUUCGCCUGUGACGAAGCGUGAGUGACGGUAAUGGGUAAAGAAGCACCGGCUAACUACGUG